ensembl:lncRNA
ACAAAAAUAGAGCGUGUAUCUUGAAAAGUUUUCUAAGUGUGUACGUAACGUGGCGUAGCCAUAGAAACGAGGUGGAUGCGUCAGUUAAAGUCACCUACUGACCUUCAACGUUCUUAGUGAGCAGCGACAGACGGUGAGAGCAGAGCUGUCAGAGCUGUGAGCAUCUUUGACCCGAGAAAGGAGCGAAAAGUUUACCAGAAAAAGACUUUUUAAAACAGGAGACCAGAAAAAGUCUGGAGAAUAUUUUGUGGCCUAUUGAUCAGUAAGAUGUGGGCCUCAGAACAGCACGUUCAGCCGGAAGAUACUUUUUUUUACUGGCCUGAGGAUUAUGAUGACGGGUACGGGGCCCAACAAAUAAAUGGCCAGUACAUUGCCCAACUGCUUCAGGACCAAACAACGUUCGCUGACGACCAGGACGGGGCUCCAAACUAUGAAGACCUGACAACCGUUGAUGUCUUGUCUAUCGCAGAGUACUGCCACCCACAAAAUCCUUGCCCCACAACCAUCAACCCCAUUCCUAAUGAUGUGCACAUGCAGGCCCAACAACAUAUUGAGCUCCAAACCUUCAUCCCAUCGGCUGUGUCUGCUAUGACAUAUAAUGGACUUCCAGUGUUCACUGCAGGGAUGGAUCCACUUCCCACUUUUGGAGGACAGAAUGAGAAUGACGUUGUUUCAAUCGUGCAACCAGAACCCCCAGCAGUCCCAGCAGUCCCAGCCCCCCCAGUGAAGGCUCCAGUCUUAAAAAAGGUGAACAAGCGUAAGGCAGAGAAGGUGGAAGAGGGGCUGUACAUAAAAAAGCCCCCCAAUGCCUUCAUGCUGUUUCUCAAAGAGCACAGGAAGUCUGCGGAGGAAGAUCUGGGCGUGAGGACGAGCGCUGUCGUCAACAAAUUCCUCGGUGAACGGUGGAAGUCAUUGCCAGCGGAGGACAAAGAUCAGUAUAAUACUGAGGCCAAACGUUGUGCUUUGCUCCACCACGAGCAGAACCCCGGCUGGACCAACAAGAAGAACUAUGUAAGUCUACCCUGCAGACAUGUUGCCACAGCAACCUUAAAG